GAUGAACGCUGGCGGCGUGCCUAAUACAUGCAAGUCGAGCGAACGGACGAGAAGCUUGCUUCUCUGAUGUUAGCGGCGGACGGGUGAGUAACACGUGGAUAACCUACCUAUAAGACUGGGAUAACUUCGGGAAACCGGAGCUAAUACCGGAUAAUAUUUUGAACCGCAUGGUUCAAAAGUGAAAGACGGUCUUGCUGUCACUUAUAGAUGGAUCCGCGCUGCAUUAGCUAGUUGGUAAGGUAACGGCUUACCAAGGCAACGAUGCAUAGCCGACCUGAGAGGGUGAUCGGCCACACUGGAACUGAGACACGGUCCAGACUCCUACGGGAGGCAGCAGUAGGGAAUCUUCCGCAAUGGGCGAAAGCCUGACGGAGCAACGCCGCGUGAGUGAUGAAGGUCUUCGGAUCGUAAAACUCCGUUAUUAGGGAAGAACAUAUGUGUAAGUAACUGUGCACAUCUUGACGGUACCUAAUCAGAAAGCCACGACUAACUACGUGCCAGCAGCCGCGGUAAUACGUAGGUGGCAAGCGUUAUCCGGAAUUAUUGGGCGUAAAGCGCGCGUAGGCGGUUUUUUAAGUCUGAUGUGAAAGCCCACGGCUCAACCGUGGAGGGUCAUUGGAAACUGGAAAACUUGAGUGCAGAAGAGGAAAGUGGAAUUCCAUGUGUAGCGGUGAAAUGCGCAGAGAUAUGGAGGAACACCAGUGGCGAAGGCGACUUUCUGGUCUGUAACUGACGCUGAUGUGCGAAAGCGUGGGGAUCAAACAGGAUUAGAUACCCUGGUAGUCCACGCCGUAAACGAUGAGUGCUAAGUGUUAGGGGGUUUCCGCCCCUUAGUGCUGCAGCUAACGCAUUAAGCACUCCGCCUGGGGAGUACGACCGCAAGGUUGAAACUCAAAGGAAUUGACGGGGACCCGCACAAGCGGUGGAGCAUGUGGUUUAAUUCGAAGCAACGCGAAGAACCUUACCAAAUCUUGACAUCCUUUGACAACUCUAGAGAUAGAGCCUUCCCCUUCGGGGGGGCAAAGUGACAGGUGGUGCAUGGUUGUCGUCAGCUCGUGUCGUGAGAUGUUGGGUUAAGUCCCGCAACGAGCGCAACCCUUAAGCUUAGUUGCCAUCAUUAAGUUGGGCACUCUAAGUUGACUGCCGGUGACAAACCGGAGGAAGGUGGGGAUGACGUCAAAUCAUCAUGCCCCUUAUGAUUUGGGCUACACACGUGCUACAAUGGACAAUACAAAGGGCAGCGAAACCGCGAGGUCAAGCAAAUCCCAUAAAGUUGUUCUCAGUUCGGAUUGUAGUCUGCAACUCGACUACAUGAAGCUGGAAUCGCUAGUAAUCGUAGAUCAGCAUGCUACGGUGAAUACGUUCCCGGGUCU
rnacentral:rRNA from 1 species